rnacentral:rRNA from 1 species
AGAGUUUGAUCCUGGCUCAGGAUGAACGCUGGCGGCGCGCCUAACACAUGCAAGUCGAACGGUUAAGACCCCUUAGGGGGUGCAUAAAGUGGCGAACGGCUGAGUAACACGUGGGCAACCUGCCCCUCGCUCCGGGACAGCCUCGGGAAACCGUGGGUAAUACCGGAUACUCCCCAGGCGGCACAUGCCGCCCGGGGGAAAGCCCAGACGGCGAGGGAUGGGCCCGCGGCCUGUUAGCUAGUUGGCGGGGCAACGGCCCACCAAGGCGAUUAUGGGUAGCCGGGUUGAGAGACCGACCGGCCAGAUUGGGACUGAGACACGGCCCAGACUCCUACGGGAGGCAGCAGUGGGGAAUCUUGCGCAAUGGGCGGAAGCCUGACGCAGCGACGCCGCGUGCGGGAGGAAGGCCCUCGGGUCGUAAACCGCUUUCAGCAGGGACGAGGCCGAGAGGUGACGGUACCUGCAGAAGAAGCCCCGGCUAACUACGUGCCAGCAGCCGCGGUAAUACGGGGGAUGCGAGCGUUAUCCGGAUUCAUUGGGUUUAAAGGGUGCGUAGGCUGUGCGUCAAGUCAGGGGUGAAAUUCCGGGGCUCAACUCCGGGGCUGCCCUUGAUACUGUCGCGCUGGAGUGCGGAUGCCGCCGGAGGAAUGAGUGGUGUAGCGGUGAAAUGCUUAGAUAUCACUCAGAACACCGAUUGCGAAGGCAUCUGGCGAAUCCGUAACUGACGCUGAGGCACGAAAGCGUGGGGAUAGAACAGGAUUAGAUACCCUGGUAUUCCACGCCGUAAACGAUGAUGGCUAACCGCCGGCGACAGACUGUCGGUGGCCAAGCGAAAGCGAUAAGCCAUCCACCUGGGGAGUACGUCGGCAACGAUGAAACUCAAAGGAAUUGACGGGGGCCCGCACAAGCGGAGGAACAUGUGGUUUAAUUCGAUGAUACGCGAGGAACCUUACCCGGGCUCGAACGGCGCCUGAACCACCCAGAGACGGGUGGGUCUUCGGACAGGUGCCGAGGUGCUGCAUGGUUGUCGUCAGCUCGUGCCGUGAGGUGUCGGCUCAAGUGCCAUAACGAGCGCAACCCCUGCCGCCAGUUGCCAUCAGGUGAAGCUGGGCACUCUGGCGGGACUGCCACCGCAAGGUGUGAGGAGGGGGGGGAUGACGUCAAAUCAGCACGGCCCUUACGUCCGGGGCUACACACGUGUUACAAUGGCAGGUACAGAGAGAUGGUGUUCUGCAAAGCGCAUCAAAUCCUUAAAGCCUGUCUCAGUUCGGACUGGGGUCUGCAACCCGACCCCACGAAGCUGGAUUCGCUAGUAAUCGCGCAUCAGCCAUGGCGCGGUGAAUACGUUCCCGGGCCUUGCACACACCGCCGGUCA